GCCUGGGGUGCAGGUGCCGAGGGCCAGCCUGAGAGACGGAAGCACCCCAUCACCAGGGAAAUGCAGGCCCACCCUGAGAUUCAGAUUCUGAACCAAAGCUGCCAAAUCUCAUCAUAGAAUACAACACAGACAUUGUCAAAGGGGUUUCUAGGGAGAAGUUGGAAGCUAAAUAGGGUCCUCAGCUUCUGGAGGUCCUAGUAUUACACCUCACAUUUCCGCUCUCCCGGCUCACCAAGGGGCUUCCUGGCUCUGGGAAGGGGCAAGGCAUUUGGAGCAGCUUCAGCCAGUUGCCCGAGGUCUUCGGAAGGAGCCCAUCCGGGGAUCCUGAGGCAGGAGGGAGCUGGAGGUGCAGAAGGAGCCUCCUGGAUUGCAGGCAUGCGCCACAACACCCAGCUCUAUCAUGGGCUGCACCCCCCAGAGCCACUGCAUGCACC